rnacentral:rRNA from 1 species
AAAAAUUUUGGGGCCCACCCAUUGAACUCCACAGCCCACCAGCCCGAGAGGCCACAGCCUCGGGCCGCUCUCCUUGCGACCACGGAAACCCUAAUCCAUCUCCACCCACAGCCGCCGCAGCUCCUCUCCCUCUCUGUUCCUGAUUCAGAUCCAUGCCCAGCCUCCGCCGGUCCGCCCCCGCGCGGCUGCGACCCCCCUUGAUCUCCCGCGCCGCCAUCCCAACCAUCUCCGACUCCACCUUCGUCUCUCACCCUCUAUCACGCCUCCACAGCCCCACCCUUUCCCCUUAUGCAGCCUACUCAGAUCCGUGAUGGGGGGACACACUGCCAUAAUGGCGCUCCCGCAUCCGCAUCAAGGUCAGCCCCCUGCUCGUCGUCAUGGGCGCGGUGGUUACGAGGAAGGUGGUUGAGGUCGGUGAGAUGAACGUUGUCGCCUACCCGCUGGCCAGGACCAGGGACGACUGCCCCGACACUUCGUCUUCUUCACAAUCUCACGCCGGGAAAGGAGGGGGUCGCCACUGUUUUCUUCGGUACUCCUUGGCCUUUUUCGCAUCGCCAGAGGUGACCUCGCUAGACCACUGCUGUGAAGGUGGAGGAGAUAGCUGAAGUCGAGCGUGUUGUUGAUGACAUAAAAGGUGUUGAUGAAACAGAGCCUUCUGAAGAAUAGAGGUGAAAAUACAGAAAGGUAAUUGAAGUAGAACAGAAGAUAUUACACUCUAGUUUCGUUUAGAAGGGUAACUUGACUUGGGAUGGAAC